rnacentral:rRNA from 1 species
GACGAACGCUGGCGGCGUGCUUAACACAUGCAAGUCGAACGGUAAGGCCCUUCGGGGUACACGAGUGGCGAACGGGUGAGUAACACGUGGGUGAUCUGCCCUGCACUUCGGGAUAAGCCUGGGAAACUGGGCCUAAUACCGGAUAGGACUCCGGACUGCAUGGUCUGGGGUGGAAAGCUUUUGCGGUGUGGGAUGGGCCCGCGGCCUAUCAGCUUGUUGGUGGGGUGAUGGCCUACCAAGGCGAUGACGGGUAGCCGGCCUGAGAGGGUGACCGGCCACACUGGGACUGAGAUACGGCCCAGACUCCUACGGGAGGCAGCAGUGGGGAAUAUUGCACAAUGGGCGCAAGCCUGAUGCAGCGACGCCGCGUGAGGGAUGACGGCCUUCGGGUUGUAAACCUCUUUCAGCAUCGACGAAGCGAAAGUGACGGUAGGUGCAGAAGAAGGACCGGCCAACUACGUGCCAGCAGCCGCCGUAA